CUGGGGAGGCAUGCCCCCUAAUAAUUUUUUCUCUCUCUGCCUCAGUCUGCCCCACUCUUCCCUCCCCACAGACUUACCUGCUGGGGUGGGGUGGGGGUUGGCGGUGGUGCACGGUAGAUCUUGGGUUGCUUUUAAAUGUCAAAGAUGAUCUCAUACUUAAAAAGGUUGGAGACCACUGGGCUAAAUCAUUUGGUGUGGGCAAGUCAAUUGCUAGUACUGAGAAGGCUGCCAUUUGUGAGAUUAUGGCUCAGGACAGAUGAACUCUUCCAUGAGGCACCACAAAAUAAUUUGUAGAACAACUUGAGUUAGUGAGGCAUUAUGAACUGAAGAACAUGCUCCUAGAAAUCAUAGGAAAGUAGGACUGGAAGGAACCUAAUGAGGUCAUGCAGUCUAGCUUCCUGCUCAAGACAGGAUCAUCCCUGAAUAAAGUCAUCUCAGCCAAAUGUCUGUCCAACCUGCUCUCUUAAAUGUCCAGGGAUGGAGAUCCUAGCACCUCACUUGGGCUAUUGCAGCAUGAGUUAUAUGGGUAUGAGAAGAGUAUAUUUCUGCGGUGUGAAUGCUUGCUGAUGGGCUUAACUAAUCUGAGUACCCAAGCUGCAAGCCCAGACCCAGGUAAAGUCUUGUGAAUCUAUACCCAGAGUAGAGACUCCUAUCUCUAUGAUUUUCUUUCCAGCCCUUCCAGCUAAAAGUCAUGAAAACCAAACUUUUUUAAGGACUCUGAUCUGCUUAUGUCCCUUCUGAUCCAAUCAUCUAUGAAUCUAUAAUAUUAUAGCUCAAGUUUUUAUUCUUUACUUUUUUUCUUUAGAAAUAUUUAAUUAAACUCUGGUGUACUGUGACUGGAGAGGUGUUGUUAGAAUGAAGACUGAGUCAGCAGUCCUGGAUCCUGGUCCCCUGCCUGCUCUUGACUCACCAUGCAACUGUAGACAAGUCAUCAAUAGCUUGAUUUUCAGAAAUACUUAGGAUUUCCACCAUGGGCAAUGGGAGCUGCAGGGAUUUGCCAUCUUUGAAAGUGGAUUUAAUUAAUUUCUAUUCAUCUGCUUACCCACUACACAAAGUUGGAAUAAUAGGAAUUCUCCACUGUACAGGAGUGGUAUCUGGUUUAAUUAAUGAGAAUUUGUAAAGCACACUGAGAUCUCAUGAUUAAAAGACUAAUUUUAAAGGGACAGAUAUAGAAUCGUGGAAAAUUAGGGUUGGAAGGGACCUCCGGCAGUUAUCUAGUCCAACCCCCUGCUCAAAGCAGGAUGAUCCCCAAAUAUAUCAUCCCAGCUAAGGCUUUGUCUAGCUGGUCUUAAAAAUCUCCAGGGAUGAAGAUUCCACAACGUCUUUGGGUAACCCGCUCCAGAGCUUAACUACCCUCUUUGUGAAGAGUUUUUCCCAAUAUCUAACUUCCCUUGAUGUAACCUAAACAUUGGGCAUUUUUACACAUGCUCCAGUAGGCAUGGGGGGUGCUUUAAUUAGUAUGGUAUGGGAGGUGCUUUAAUUAUGGGGGGUGCUUUUAACUAAAAGUGCCCAAGUGUCACGUGUAUCAGUGUCCUCUGUGCUGAAAAAUGGCAGUGGGGUGGUUUGAACUAAGGCUCAUUGAAUGAGCUUGAGUUCAAAGUGCCCUGCCACAAUUUUUCAGUGUGGGAAUGCUAAUACACGUGAUGCCUGAGUCUGCUGGAGCACAUUUAUUUCCAUGGUCCAGCAAACUUGAUUAAUCAAGUCUGCUCCAAUGCACUGUGUUUCCAGUAUGUUGGCACUGGUUUCCUGUACAUGUAUAGGACCCCAUUGUUCCUUGUUCUGUCAUCUGCCAUGACUGAGAACAGAUUAGCUCCAUCCUCUUUGGAACCACCCUUCAGGUAGUUGAAGGCUGCUGUGAAAUCCCUUCUCAGUCUUUUUUUCUCUAGACUAAAUAAGCCCAGUUCCCUCAGCCUCUCCUCAAAAGUCACAUGCCCCAGCUCCCGAACCAUUUUCGUUGCCCUCCACUAGACUCUGUCUAAUUUGUCCACAUCCUUUCUGUAGUGGAGGAGCCAAAACUGGACACAGUACUCCAGACGUAGCUUCACCAGUGCAGAAUAGAUAUGCUGGCAACACUCCUACCAGUGCAGCUCAGUAUACCAUCAGCCUUGUUUGCAACAAAGGCACACUGUUGGCUCAAAUUCAGCUUCUUGUCCAUUGUAACCCCCAGGUCCUUUCCACAGAGCUGCUGCCCAGCCAGUCAGCUCCCAGCCUGUAUUGGUGCAUGGGAUUGUUCCAUCCUAAGUGCAGGGCUUUGCACUUGUCCUUAUUGAAUCUCAUGAGAUUUCUUUUGGUCUAAUCCUCCAAUUUGUUGAGGUCCCUCUGAAUCCUAACCCUCCCCUCCAGCAUAUCUACUACUCCCCGCCCAGCUUGGUGUCCUCUGCAAACUUGCUGAGGGUGCAUUCUGUGCCAUCUUACAGGUCAUUUAUGAAGAUAUUGAACAAAACCAGUCCCAGGAUUGACCCCUGCGGCACUUCACUUGAUACCAGCUGCCAACUAGACAUCGAGCUAUUGAUCACUACACUCUGAGCCCAAUGCCCCAGCCAGUUUUCUGUCCACCUUACAGUCCACUUAUCCAGCCUGUACUUCCUGAGCUUGCCUGCGAGAAUGUUGUGGGAGACCGUAUCAAAAGCCUUGAUAAGGUCAAGGUACACCACAUCCACUGGUCUCCCCACAUCCAGUCAUCUCAUCACAGAAGGCAAUCCGGUUGGUCAGGGUUGACUUGCCCCUGGUGAAUCCAUGCUGACUGUUCCUAAUAACAUUCUCCUCCAAGUGCUUAGAAAUGGAUUCCUUGAGGAUCUGCUCCAUGGUUUUUCUAGUAACUGAAGUGAGGCUGGCCAGUUUGCAGUUCCCUGGAUCCUCCUUUUUCCCUUUCUUAAAUAUGGACACUAUGCCCUUUUCCAAUCAUCUGGGACUUUUUCCAAUCACUAUGAGUUUUCAGAUAUGAUGGCCAAUGGCUUUGCAAUCACAUCAGCCAACUCUUUCAGCACCCUUGGGUGCAUUCCAUCUAGCCCCAUGGACUUGUAUAUGCCCAGCUUUCUAAAUAGUCUCUGACCUGUUCUUUUGCCACAGCUGGCUGCCCACCUUCUCCCCAAACUGUGCUGCUGGGUGCAGUAGUCUUGGAACUGACCUCGCCUGUGAAGACUAAGGUGAAAGAGGCAUUAAGUAAUUCAAGCUUUUCCACAUUCUCUGUCACUAGGCUGCCUCCUGAAUUCAGUAAGGGACCCAUACUUUCUCUGUUCCUCUUUUUAAUGACAUACUUGUAGAAACCCUUCUUGUUACCCUUCACAUCCCUUGCUAGCUGCAACUCCAGUUGUGCUUUGGCCUUCCUGACUUCAUCCCUGCAUGCCCAAGCAAUAGCCUUAUAUCCCUCCUUCAUUGUUUGUCUAAGUUUCCACUUUUUAUAAGCUUCUUUUUUGUGAUUUAGCUUACUGAAGAGUUUCCUGCUAAGCCAAGCUGGUCUUCUGCCAUACUCACUAGUCUUCCUGCACAUCAGGAUGGGUUGUUCCAGUAAGGUUUCUUUAAAGUACAGCCAACUCUCCUGGACUCCUUUCCCCCUCUCAGACUGGCCUCCCAGGGGAUCUGACCCAUAAAUUGCCUGACUGAGUCAAAAUCUGUUUUUUCUGAAGUCCAGGUCCUUACUCUGCUGCUUUCCUUCCUUCUCUUCCUCAGGAUCCUGAAGUCAAUCAUCUCAUAGUUGCUGCUGCCCAAGUUGCCAUCCAAGACUUCAUUCCCCAUCAAUUCUUCUGUAUUUGUGAGCAGCAGGUCAAGAAGAGUAUGGCCCCUAGUUGGCCUCUCUGAUACUUGCACCAGGAAGUUGUCCUCAACACUCUCCAAAAAGUUCCUGGAUUGCCUGCACACUGCUGUAUUGCCCUCCCAGCAGAUGUCAGGGUGAUUGAAGUACCCCACGAAAACCAGGGCCUGUGACUGGGGAAACUUCUGCUAGCUGUUUGAAGAAAGCCUCAUCCACCUGGUCUGGUGGCCUAUAGCAGACCCCCACCACAACAUCACUCUUGUUUCUCUCUUCUCUGACCCUAACCCAGAACUUGCAAGAGGCCUAUCUCCAGUUUCAUACUGGAGCUUUGAGCAAUCAUACAGCUCUUUUACAUAAAGUGCAACUCUUCCUCCUCUUCUCCCCUGCCUGUCCUUCCUGAAUAGUUUAUAGCCACCCAUGGUGGUGCUCCAGUCAUGUGACCUCCCAUCAAGUCUCUUUUAUUCCAAUCAUGUCAUAAUUCUGUGACUGUAGAAGGACUUCCAAUUCUUUUUGGUUUUUAACCAGGCUGUGUGCGUUCAUGUACAGGCACCUAAGGUAACUAGACGAUUGCCCUUAUUUCUCAGGAACAAUGAGAAUGCCUCCCCUGUUGCCCACUCCUGCUUGUGCUUCUACGAGGUCACCCACUUCCCCACUUACCUCAGGGCUUUGGUCUCCAUCCCAUAGCAACCCUGGUUUAAAGUUUAGCAAGCUUGUCUGUCAAGACACUUUUCCCUCUCUUUGUCAGGUGGUUCCCAUCUCUUCCUAGCAGUCCUUCUUGGAACAUCAUCCCAUGGUCAAAGAAGCCAGAGCCCUGCUGGCAACACCACCUGAGCAGGCAUGCUUUGGUCUGCAGGAUGCGCCCACUCCUGCCCAGGCCCUUUCCCUUGACCAAAAGGAUUGAGGAGAAUACCACCUGAGCCCCCAUCUCCUUCACCCUUGCACCCAGAGCCCUAUAGUCACUUCUGAUAUGCUCAGAGUAUCCCCUGGCAGUAUCAUUGGUGCCCAUAUGGAUGAGCAGCAUGGGGUAGUAGAGGGCCUCAUGAGUCUUGAUAAUCCAUCCAUGACAUCUCAGAUCCAUUCUCUGGGCAAGCAGCAGACCUCCCAAGACAACAGGUCAGGCUGGCAGAUGGAUGCAUCUGUUCCCUGCAGAAGGGAGUCUUCAGCACCACCCAUCUCUUCUUUCUGAUGGCAGUGGUCUCAUUCAUCCCCACCUUGGGGAGGUCUGUCCUGUCCUCCACCAAUGGAACAUUGUCCUCCCCCUCUAUUGCUAGGGUUCCAUAGCUCUUCUCCAGGCAAACUCCUGCAAGUGGAGAUGAAGAUUCCUGCUUGUUGCCAGAGGUCACAAGCUUCCACCUUCCUCAGAGUCCAUGUCCUCUCCCUUCUUUAGUGCUGCCCUUGGCAAUUCUUCCUCCACAGUCUUGGAGGUCUCCUCCAGCAUCAAAUCGAUGAACUCCUCAUGAUGGAGGAUGCUUUGGAGCCUUACCACCUCCUCCUCUAGCUUUCUUGCCUGCUCCCUCAGAGACAGCACCAGGAGGCACCGCUUGCACUGCAGGUACCCCCUGACCUGGCCAUCCCUGGAAGGAACCUGCAAGCCAGUUUCCACAGUGCCAAACCCAGACCUGGGUGGAAACCUUGAUGGUGAGUGGUCCUGCCUAGAAUCUGCUUUCUCUCUCUUACUGCCAUUCUUCCAAGAGUACCUUCCUUAGCACUUGGGCGACUGGUACCACCUUAGUCAGGGGGGCAUGUGCCCCCCCAGUGACCAGUCAGCGACCGGGGGGAGUCCCCCCUGUGGCCAUUCUCACCGACAGGGAGCCCCAUGGCCAAUCUCACCGAUGUGGGGGGGGCCCACAGCUGAUUGUGAAGCAGCUGUGGUGCUACCGGAAACGGCUGCAGCUCUUCCACUCCCCAGACAGCACUCGCAGGUGGGGUACUGCCACUCUCGCCUGCCCCCCCUGCCUGUCACCUAAGCAGGGAGUGUGGCCUGUCAGGGGGUGAACCAGCGCUCUCAGGGUGUGCAUGUGUACCCCCAUGCACCUCCUAUGCAUCGUCACUGCCUUAAUAAGCUGGCCUGUAAGGUGGCCUGUUUACUUUUCCUUGGUCCUGAAAGGUUCCUUUUUCCCUGCUUUCUCUCACCAAGCUUGAAGGCUCUCCAUCAGAGUCAGGGUAGGGGGCAAACUGACUUGUGAACCUCCUUCCCCUGUUCGCUUGCCCCAUAUGAUAUCAUAUUAUAUAAAACCAUACAUAGAUAUUCACAAACAGGAGUGUUAAAUGCAUGCAAUUGUUAACAAUGCACACACAGAUAGUCCCUUUCAUGUGAGGUUUUCUAAGUGCUAUACAAGCAAUUAAUUAAGUAACACAAACCCCCUGUGAGGUAAGUGCUUGGUAAUUUAUUUUACUAAUGGAGAAAUGCACACUGAGAGGUUAAGUGAUUUUUGCCCACAGUUACAAAAUUGGUCAACAUCAGAGAGAAGUCUCAGUUUUUGUUUUAAGUGCUAUACAGAAUCACUUACAAUUAAAAGUUAGUUUACAAGUAUGUUUCCUAUGAAAAUAAUCAUCUUGCCUGGCUUACAAAAAUAAAAGAAAACACUAAAAAAGUAGAAUAGACAAUUAUUGUCCUGGUUGACUAAUAUAAAAAGAACUGAGAGAACCUUAAAUAAUGUCAAAUAUACAGCAAAAGUUAAAGAUGUCCAUUAGACUUUUUGUUGAUGCCAAAUGAAAGAGAUUAACAUAAGGAAUUUUAAUUGAAUGUACAUUUUCUUUUCUGUUGCUUUCUUAUUAGUUUGAUUUGUUUUAUUGAUUUAUUUUCUUGGAAGGUAUGCUAAUCAUCUAAAGUGUUUUGUCACCUAUUUUAUAUGAGGCAUUGAAGUACCUUUGAUUACAUUUUUCACAGGUUUUGAAGCUGUCUUAAUUUAUAUUUGAUUGAUACUAAUAAGGAGCAGUUAAAUCAGAUGCUUUCUAAUUUUUCAUUCUCAUUCUACACUCCGUCUUUUUUGUUUCCUUCCUGGAUAGUAGAGGGACUGUUUUUCAGAUUAGCUGUGCUAAGAAUGUCAUCACAGUCUUGUUGUGACUAAUGCUGUGAUGUAAUAAGAGUUAUGAAAAGUAGUUUCUGAAGCAGAGUAAGUAAGCUGUUUAAUCCUAGCUUGACCUGAAACCAGCUAUGAAGUAUCCUCUGGUUCCUUUGGUAAAUGAUUUGACAUUUCCUGUUCUUUUCUUUUGGUUUUGUUUGCCAUUUGGGUUACUGCUGAUCUUACUGAUUAUCUGGCUGCAGCAUUUACUCAAUGAAGCCCAGUUACCCCAUAUCAAAGUAAUAAGGGAGCCCUCCUCUGAUCAGUCUGAUGGGAAUGCUGACCCUAAAUUUGAGAAUGAAGAUGCAAGAGAGAGAGGCUGGAGAGAGAUGGCUAGUACCAAGUUCCCAAAGGAUAUACAGUCAAGUGCACCUGUGGGGCAACGAGUGCCCAAGUCUGCUUAUCAGAGUCCAAAACUGAAAAACCUUUUUGCUGCAAUCUCAGACUGUCUGUUUUGGGGGCAGGGAAUGAGUCCAUGUUGCUAUGAGAAGAAUGCCUUGUACUCUGCUGUGAUGCUACUCUGCUCUCUGCUGCUGUCUCUCAUCUGGAAUGUUGGCUGCCAAAUGCUUGAGAUUGCUAAUAUCCUGAAGAGUCAGCUGCUGCCGCUAUGUUUGGAUAUCUACCCAGCUCAGCCUUUUGUCCUGCUGAGUGGAAGGGUUGCGAAAAUCUGGGAUUAUCUGAAAUGAGAAAUCAGAACUGACUGUGUCCGUCACUGAGAGAUGUAAAAGCACUGCAACAAAUUGAUAAACCAUCCCCGUUGCUCAUCUGAAGGGAGAAUGACCAUGGUGUGCAAAUAAAACAAGUGGUAUUAUUGCCAUGAAAAAUAACCUCCUCAGUGUCUUUGAACUGUCGUGAUGGAGUAAAGGUUUAAGAAUUUA